UACUUUUAAACAUUAUUUUUAGGAGUGGCAAACCGUACCUCGUGUAACAAUACAUUUUUAUUAAUUAUUGUUGAGUUUAUUAAUAAUUAUAUGUUGUGGUGAUUUGUUGUUUAAUUAUUGAGAAAUUUUUGAUAUUUAGGAAUUUCUUAGGAGUUUAGGUGGUUUAGAGUUUCUUUUAGAUUGAGGUUUAAUUCGAUUUUGAGAGGAAAGUAUAUAAGAUUUCUUUUAAGAAACUUGAGUGAGAAAAAGCAAAGAGAGGAGCUUCGGUAUUCUAAAAACUCUUCUUCUUCUUUCUAGCCUUCUAAGAGUUGUAGAAGAUCUCAAUCGAGUAUCUUGUUGGUGAUUCAAGGCUGUUGAUGAUGUUGGAAAUCUAAGUUUGUGUAGAGUAUUGGUAUUAGCUUAGAGUUGUUCUUCUUCUUCCUCGUUUCUCUUCAAUUCCAAGGUGCAACAUGGGAUGCGUCAAGCGUUGUUAAGGUCAAGAGUAAAUCUCACGUUGGGUAUGGAAUGACCUUUGAUGAGUGCAAAAGCUCUAGGGGUGUCGGGCAUGGACACUCUAGAGAGCUCUUCGUGGUAUUCUCGCUAGGCGUGAACUCGAUCACAUCGGGCACGAUUUAAUCAGAGACUAAUGUAGUGCUCUUGAAGUAUCUUAUCAGGUGUGAGAUGUGUGUCACUAGGCAUCGUCCUGCCUGAGAAUUCCUUGUUGAUCUUCUGUUAAUUUCAAUAAUGUAAUUUUUGUAUUGUAAUGUUGAUGUGGAUGUGAAUUAAACUCCGUUGAUGAAUAUAUGAAGGCAUGUGAUUAGUAAUGAGA